UGAACGCUGGCGGCGUGCCUAAUACAUGCAUUUCGAACGAGGUGCUUUUGUAGCAAUACAUGCUGACGAGCGGCGGACGGGUGAGUAACGCUUGGGAAUCUGCCUGUUAGUGGGGGACAACCCGGGGAAACUCGGGCUAAUACCGCAUACGCACUACGGUGGAAAGCCGGGGACCGCAAGGCCUGGCGCUAACAGAUGAGCCCAAGUCGGAUUAGCUAGUUGGUAGGGUAACGGCCUACCAAGGCGACGAUCCGUAACUGGUCUGAGAGGACGACCAGUCACACCGGAACUGAGACACGGUCCGGACUCCUACGGGAGGCAGCAGUGGGGAAUCUUGCGCAAUGGGCGAAAGCCUGACGCAGCGACGCCGCGUGAGGGAUGAAGGCCUUCGGGUUGUAAACCUCUUUCAGCAGGGACGAAGCCCUUUGGGUGACGGUACCUGCAGAAGAAGCCCCGGCCAACUACGUGCCAGCAGCCGCGGUAAUACGUAGGGGGCUAGCGUUGUCCGGAUUUAUUGGGCGUAAAGAGCUCGUAGGCGGC
rnacentral:rRNA from 1 species